AUCAAUUCCAUAAGUUAAUUCAACCGAAUUUUGAGCAGCCCUGUUCGCAUCUCCCCUCUCUCCCUUGCUCGCCUCCGGCGUCCCUCCCCCACUCUUCUCAAAUUUUUAACUCAGUCACAGUGUUUCUCGGUGGCUCCAGCGCCUCAAUUGGCGGUUUUCGUAGACAAUAACACUGGCGUUAUUUGCCAGGGCAUCACUGGAAAAAAAUGAAAGAGGUUGGUGGUGUCCUAAGUCUCCAAAGCCAAUUCAAGACCAUCCCUCAAUCCCUCAGGCUCCAGCUGCAAUGAAAAGAAUUGGGAAAUUAUGGAUGGAGUAUGAAGAAAUUGGGGAUUUAUCAAUUCAUUAAAACAUGUAAGAUGUAAAUUGACUUACUAAUACUCUCACUUGGUUCUUUUGGGCCUGUUGUGGUGUUAUCGCAUAUAGCUAAUUAAGAAGAACCCCGAACAGGUUUUGUUUGGGGUCAUAGUUAUAUGCUUGGUUUUAUUAGCUGGUUAAUGUAUCAUUGAGUUGUUACUAAGGUUGUUGAUGGGUAUUUCAAUUUUUAAUGGAGAGACUGGUCUAGCUCCCUAUGAGGUAAGUUUCUGUUCCAACUUGCAGUUGAUCCCUACUUAUUCAUUGCCUCACUAAAAUUUAGUAGGUACUGUAUUUUUAGUUAAAAUAUUAGAGAACUAUUAUGGCUUAAAACAGAAUACUUGUUUCAUUAUGCUUAAUUAAUUAGUCUCCGAUGAUGGUUAGAUGUUACCAUAAGCUCUUGCAAUUCCAUUUUGUUAUCUGCUGUAAUAUGAACAAAAAACUUGUAUAUAUGAUUUGUGAUCCUUUACACAUAUACAUGUUAUUUUAUUAGCCUCAUUCCAUGAAUAUUUGUGUGUUAAUAUUUUGAGUGAGUUUACUACAUGAUAGGAUAAUAUCUGUUCUGGAUUUAGUUAAUUAAUAUUUAUUUAGCUUACUGAAUUCAUUUUCUUAUGUAUUUGCCUUUUAAGAGAUUGAUCCUGCUUUGUUGAUCUUGUCCUUGUUUUUAACAAUAGCCUUAACUUUGACUCUGUUUUUAAAUUGAAAGUGGAAUCAUAAGAGAAAAUUACUAAGGGUUAACCAGACAGUGUUGUUGCAUAAGCAAAAUGGAGGAUCUUAAACAUUUGCAUAAGAGGAAUGAAACACUGUGUACUUGCAACUAUUUGAUUUAUACUUGCUUUGAAAGUUUUUUUUCCAUGUUUUUAUUGUAUUUUACAUUUCAAUUUUUUCUUGCUAUAGUGACUGUUAUCUUGUGUUAUAACUUUAAUUUAUUCAAUCAAUAUCUGUCACUGAUAGAUACUCCCAGUUAUGCUAGAUUUUGGUACUAACAAUCAAAUGCUACUUGAAGACCGGCUUUGUGAGUAAAAUAUGUACUCAGUUACCUUGUUCUUAAGAAGUUGCUACCUUUGCUGAGUGGACCUUAUAAUACACUUGCUGUGACUUUGUUUUGUGACAGGUUGUUAAAAUUUUUUUUGGCAUGUUCUUUUGGCUUGACAGAAAUAUGAUACGCUAUUGGAAAAGGUUUUGCAUGUUUAAUAAUGAUAUGCAGGUGAACUCUUGGUGCAACAACUUGCUACUUUUAUGGACUACAUUAGUGUCUAGUGUUGUGUUGAUUGCACUUAAAUCACUAUGAAUGCCACCAUUAUUAGAGAGUUGUGCUUAAUGUCUCUUAAGAAACUGCUCAAGUUGCACUUGCUGGAUUGUUAGGAACUGUAAGAGCACAAGGUCGAUCAUUGGCCGACUUUCCAAACCAACAGAUAGUUGUGGUGGGAGCUGGAAGACCCAGCCCAUGCUGAUUGCUCCGUACCUCAGGUGUUCUACUCUCCUCUAUUAUUUUGAAUGCAUCCUGCUUAGUAAGUGGUUUGCUAAGAUACAUUAUGUUUUGCAUGUUACAAGAGUAUAUAUGUCUUGUGGUGUGCAUCAGGGUAUGCACCUUAAAUCUUCAUUGAUUUUUCCAUACAUUUUUUGUAAUUUUUAAACAGCUUUUCUAAUUGUAUUUCACUAGUGGCAAGCUUAGUUCUUAUAAAAAAACUUAAUAUAAACCAAUGAAAGCUUUUUGAAUGAACAAACUUUAUUUCUUUGGCAUGUUGGCUUUAAAUAAUGAAUAUUCUAAACGGUAUUCUCUUUCUUCUCUCCUUUUUGUAAUGGACGUUGUUAUUACAUAGUGAAACGGUUUUAUCCUUUUUCUAAGAGUUGGAAACAGAAAAGGUUCUAAUACAUUUGAAGUACAUAGAACAAGUACGUCUCCUUUAUUUUUCAUUUUGGAGCAUUCAUUACAAGAAAAUGGCAUAUUAGCGACAGUUUUGUAACGGCUAUUUACUUACAAAUGCCGUUAGCUUCCGUGUUUUUAUAAAACUUAAGGCAUUUAUUAUCAAAACACCGCUAAAUAUUCAAAUAGUGGCGUUAUAAAUGCCACCCAAGACUUGAUAUCAGUGACGU